rnacentral:rRNA from 1 species
ACGUAGGGUGCAAGCGUUAUCCGGAAUCACUGGGUGUAAAGGGUGUGUAGGCGGAUUUGUACGUCAGAGGUUAAAUAUCCAGGCUUAACUUGGAAAAUGACUUUGAUACGGCAAGUUUUGAGUAUAAGAGAGGAAGGUGGAAUUCCUGGUGUAGCGGUGAAAUGCGUAGAUAUCAGGAGGAACACCAGUGGCGAAGGCGGUCUUCUGGCAUAUUACUGACGCUGAGGCACGAAAGCGUGGGUAGCAAACAG